rnacentral:rRNA from 1 species
CCUACGGGGGGCAGCAGUGGGGAAUAUUGGACAAUGGGGGGAACCCUGAUCCAGCCAUGCCGCGUGUGUGAAGAAGGCCCUCGGGUUGUAAAGCACUUUCAGUGAGGAAGAACGCCUGGUGGUUAAUACCCAUCAGGAAAGACAUCACUCACAGAAGAAGCACCGGCUAACUCCGUGCCAGCAGCCGCGGUAAUACGGAGGGUGCGAGCGUUAAUCGGAAUUACUGGGCGUAAAGCGCGCGUAGGUGGCUUGAUAAGCCGGUUGUGAAAGCCCCGGGCUCAACCUGGGAACGGCAUCCGGAACUGUCAAGCUAGAGUGCAGGAGAGGAAGGUAGAAUUCCCGGUGUAGCGGUGAAAUGCGUAGAGAUCGGGAGGAAUACCAGUGGCGAAGGCGGCCUUCUGGACAGACACUGACACUGAGGUGCGAAAGCGUGGGUAGCAAACAGGAUUAGAUACCCCAGUAGUC